GAUCAAAUGGGAGGAAAAAAGAGUCUAACAAGAGUUCUGUUUUCUUUUUUACUGAUGCACUUCUGCUUCCUUUGAGAGCUGUUGAGUUGUUCUGUAAUGCUAUAUUGUCUACAUUUGUCAUGAAGACUCUCCAAGAACAUCUACAUUGGCCUCUUUCAUACCAAGGACACAAAGCAUGUAUUCUUCAGUGAUCUUAGGAAGUGGAUGACAGCCACUGCUAUAGAGAAAGCAAAGCCCCAAACCCUCAACAA